AAUGUGGCUCACUGGUAGAGUGCUUGCCUUGCAUGCAUGAGGCCCUGGGUUUGAUUCCUCAGCAUU
rnacentral:tRNA from 1 species